AUAGAUUAAAAGCUGCUAUACAGUUUGGAACUGGAAACCGAGCUCCCAAUGUAAAGGAGAUAAGCCAUCGUGCUUACAAUGUGGUGUGCAGAGCUCACUGAUGGGCAGUUUUUCUUAACAAUGCAUCAGGACUUUCGUUAUUUGGAAAGGAAGCUUAAAUGCUGGAGUGCGAUGGCAUGAUCUCGGCUCACUGCAACCUCUGCCUCCCAGGUUCAAGCGUUUCUCCUGCCUCACCCUCCCAAGUAGCUGGGAUUGCAGGCAUGCACCACUGUGCCCAGGAAGCUGAGAGUGCUGAGGGCACAUCUGAAACCACUGGAGGUUGGCGACAUGGAGGUCAGGGCCACAAGAUGCUUUUGCUCAAAAAGCCCCCUAAUCAGCUGCACCCAAGCCGGUCUGUCUGUGCCAUCACUACCACCCAGCAUCCUGCCGUUAAGGUUCAGUGUUUUGAAGCUGAGCAGUAUAGCAGAACUGAAGAAUUUGGAAGUGCUCAAAUUUUUAAAUAACCAGAUCGAGGAGCUGCCAACACAGAUCAGCAGGCUUCAAAAACUCAAACACCUGAACCUUGGCCACCCUGUGUGCACUCUAUCUAAGUGACAACGGUUUUGAAAUCCUGCCACCAGAUAUUGGGAAGCUCACAAAGUUGCAGAUACUCAGCAAUAGGGAUAAAGACCUGAUCUCACUGCUUAAGGAAAUUGGGGAGCUUACCCAGCUUAAAGAGCUCCACAUUCAGAGGAACCGCCUCACUGUUCUACGCCCAGAACUAGAUUCUACAUCCCACCAGAGACGUACUCAACUGCUGACCACGAAGAGGUUCACAUGUGUAGGCUCUGUG
ensembl:lncRNA novel transcript